CAUUCAUAAUAAGUGUUUUAUGGCACUUUUUAAAUCCAUAUCCACCUUGUGUGCAAUGUCAGUCGAUCUUCUUCAUGGAGAUCGACCAAACAUCAACCUUUAUUUUUUAACUCUUUGUCUGAAAAAUAUUAUGAAUAAACAAUUCAAAAUACAACUUUCAACAACGGAUCUCUUGGCUCUCGCAUCGAUGAAGAACGCAGCGAAAUGCGAUACGUAAUGUGAAUUGCAGAAUUCAGUGAAUCAUCGAAUCUUUGAACGCAUAUUGCGCUCUUUGGUAUUCCGAAGAGCAUGCUUGUUUGAGUAUCAGUAAACACCUCAAAGCUUUUGGAUUUUUUAAUCGAAAAGCUUUGGACUUGAGCAAUCCCAACACCAAUCUUUUUGAGAUCGGUGGCGGGUUGCUUGAAAUGCAGGUGCAGCUGGACAUUCUCCUGAGCUAAAAGCAUAUUCAUUUAGUCCCGUCAAACGGAUUAUUACUUUUGCUGCAGCUAACAUAAAGGGAGUUUGACCGUAUUGGCUGACUGAUGCAGGAUUUCACAAGGGUCGGCAACGAUUCUUGUUAAACUCGAUCUCAAAUCAAGUAAGACUACCCGCUGAACUUAAGCAUAUCAAUAAGCGGAGGA
rnacentral:rRNA from 1 species